rnacentral:lncRNA from 1 species
CCUUCUAACCUUCCCUCUCAGCAACCUCUAUGUAACGUCGAGUUGUCAAGGUUACGCAAAGCUGUGAGAACGAGGUGUGAGAAGUUCUGUAGACAGAUGAGAAAAAGAUCUCUCUCCAAUUUGGAGAGACAUGGAUUUGACAGACAGACUACUCAAUGGUUCAAAGGUGCUGAAGUAACAUGAGGGCUGAAUUGCAACUCUUCAGUGUGGUAUCGUCAAAGGAUGAAACUAAAGGAAGACUGUUUCACCAAAAAGUCUUAUUUGUACGUGUCCAAGGGAUGAAAUACCGGGAAACAAACAUAAGCACUGUUUACACCUGACAACGUAUGCAGACCAUCCCUGGUUCACCAGUAAUACUGGCUAGCCUCAUCUGUGAAAAAUUCUCUACCACUGUGGGCAAAGGUGACAAAAUCUGGCCCUCAGUAAAGAAAAGGAUAUUCAGAAGGAAAAAAAGAAAUGUGUGGUUAAAUUAA